AUUGAACGCUGGCGGCAGGCCUAACACAAGCAAGUAGAGCGAGCGGCGGACGGGUGAGUAAUGCCUGGGAAUUGCCCAGUCGAGGGUGAUAACAGUUGGAAACGACUGCUAAUACCGCAUACGAUUGGAUUGCCCAGGUGGGAUUAGCUAGUUGGUGAGGGAAUGGCUCACCAAGGCGACGAUCCCUAGCUGGUCUGAGAGGAUGAUCAGCUACACUGGAACUGAGACACAGUCCAGACUCCGACGGGAGGCAGCAGUGGGGAAUAGUGCAAAAUCGGGGAAACCCUGAUGCAGCCAGGCCGCGUGGGUGAAGAAGGCCUUCGGGUUGUAAAGCACUUUCAGCGAGGAAGCGUUACUCGCAGAAGAAGCACCGGCUAACUACGUGCCAGCAGCCGCGGUAAUUC
rnacentral:rRNA from 1 species